AUGGAUAGCUCAUUUACUUCGUUGUAUAUACUUUGUAGUUUCAAUGAUGAGGCAUAUAUGUCAACUAAGGGUGUUGGCUCCAACAACUCUCAUUGGUCUCAAACCAAUGAGAUGCAUUUCAAUGAUCAUGAGUUUGAGGUGGACGAGGAUGGUGAGGGCAUCGUCGAUGCACCGAAAGGAAGAUGGGGCAACUACACUACGGAUGAAGACAUCUUGCUAUGCAAUACUUGGUUGCAAGCGAUCCAUCCAUUUUGCAUCAUGUUUUCCUACUGUUAUCCUAUAUACUUAAGAGAUUCAUCCACACUACAAGUAUUUAUCUCAACAUGCAACCUAUCCAACUCAGCAACCUACCAUGUCAGCAACUCCUAA
rnacentral:rRNA from 1 species